AUUGAACGCUGGCGGCAGGCCUAACACAUGCAAGUCGAGCGGAUGAAGGGAGCUUGCUCCUGGAUUCAGCGGCGGACGGGUGAGUAAUGCCUAGGAAUCUGCCUGGUAGUGGGGGAUAACGUCCGGAAACGGGCGCUAAUACCGCACACGUCCUGAGGGAGGAAGUGGGGGAUCUUCGGACCUCACGCUAUCAGAUGAGCCUAGGUCGGAUUAGCUAGUUGGUGGGGUAAAGGCCUACCAAGGCGACGAUCCGUAACUGGUCUGAGAGGAUGAUCAGUCACACUGGAACUGAGACACGGUCCAGACUCCUACGGGAGGCAGCAGUGGGGAAUAUUGGACAAUGGGCGAAAGCCUGAUCCAGCCAUGCCGCGUGUGUGAAGAAGGUCUUCGGAUUGUAAAGCACUUUAAGUUGGGAGGAAGGGCAGUAAGUUAAUACCUUGCUGUUUUGACGUUACCAACAGAAUAAGCACCGGCUAACUUCGUG
rnacentral:rRNA from 1 species